AUUGAACGCUGGCGGCAGGCCUAACACAUGCAAGUCGAACGGUAACAGGAAGCAGCUUGCUGCCUCGCUGACGAGAGGCGGACGGGUGAGUAAUGUCUGGGAAACUGCCUGAUGGAGGGGGAUAACUACUGGAAACGGUAGCUAAUACCGCAUAACGUCGCAAGACCAAAGAGGGGGACCUUCGGGCCUCUUGCCAUCGGAUGUGCCCAGAUGGGAUUAGCUAGUAGGUGGGGUAACGGCUCACCUAGGCGACGAUCCCUAGCUGGUCUGAGAGGAUGACCAGCCACACUGGAACUGAGACACGGUCCAGACUCCUACGGGAGGCAGCAGUGGGGAAUAUUGCACAAUGGGCGCAAGCCUGAUGCAGCCAUGCCGCGUGUAUGAAGAAGGCCUUCGGGUUGUAAAGUACUUUCAGCGGGGAGGAAGGUGUUGAGGUUAAUAACCUCAGCAAUUGACGUUACCCGCAGAAGAAGCACCGGCUAACUCCGUGCCAGCCGCCGCGGUAAAAC
rnacentral:rRNA from 1 species